rnacentral:misc_RNA from 1 species
ACGUGAUUACACACUGGAAUCGCUUCUUUUAUUGUGUGCUCAGGUUGGUUGGCAAACAUUCUAAAAUGUUGCAAACGGAAAUGUUCCAAAAUGUAACAAUUUUUAACAGCGAUUUGUUGCAAGCGAGCGUUGUUUGGCAUGCGAGUUAUUCCCUGCAACGGUUUCCCGUCGCGAGGCGCUAAAUUCGGCACAUGCAGCCGGUGAAGACCGGCGUUACAACCACAAAAUAACAAGUCCGCCCCCGCUGUGUAUGUUGACGGGCAAUGGCAGAUUCGAAUGAUGAUUCAAAAACAAAGAUAAAUUGAAAUACGCUAUAGAGAACUCGUUCACGCACGAAGCUCGAUCUUUUUGCGUCCCGGUGGACUUUGCUUCGCCUUCGAAACAUCGUCCAGGGAAUUUUGAACGGGGAGGUGUAAUCUUUUCGUUUGAGGGUUCAUUUGGACCGCAUGUGAUUCGUCCACUAAGAGUAGCCCUUGGCAAGGUUAUUUUGGGUCGCGCCAGUUGGGUGGAUUGACGUAAGAGGGAAUGCUUGAAUAAUCUUGUUAUGAGUUUUGUUUGUGAGUGCACUUGCCUUGGCUAUGUCGGUCUAAGUAUUUGCCGCUCCGUGUGUAGGAACAGCCUGCGUUUUACAGCGUGCGUAAUCGGAACAUUUUACCUUACGAGCGUGGCAAGCAUCUGACUUUUUCCUUUACGUCGCGUUCUUACUCGUUAUAAUUAUUUUUACGGAAAUCGGGUCCCCGGCUGAAUGUGGUCGGUGUGUUGGCAAAGUAACCGAGGAAAGGACUCUUGGAUUUGCUGUACUUUUGCAAAGCAAACAUUCGCUGAAACUUUUCAGCUCUGAUUCGAAACUUUUGAAGCGAUCUUCAGUAAAGCUUCGUAGACGCUGGACUUCGUCCCUCUCUCGAGCUCAGCCGUUCAUUACAAGAUUUCGUGCUCAAGUGCAUUAGUAAGUGAAUAUCGAAAUCCUGAUAAAUUUUAUCGUCGUGAUUAAAAGCUCCAUAUAUCUCUCGUCGUCCGGACAGCAUAUCUGUUGUAAAGAAAAGCUGUAAACCUGACAAAGUGGCGUGUUGUUUUGCAAAAGGCAAACGCAGAUCGCGAUGGAAAAUACAUCGUCAGGGAACGAUCGAGCAAACUCUUUGCUGAUGCUAAGCCGUGCCGUGUAUGUAAAAAAGUCGGACAAUACUUUCUACCCGGGCACGAUCGAUACCAAAUUACCCGAUGGAAGUUACUUGGUGAAAUUCACAGACAGUUCUAGCGAUAGAGUUGCCGAGAAUCAUAUAGUGUGGUUAGGAUUUUGGGGUCUGCCACCGAAGUGCUGGCCCCGAAAUCCAAUCGUUCAAACAGCCGGUCCAAUCGAUAUGGCGUUGGAUUUUCUCGAUAGGCACAAAAACAGUGACAAUUCAUCGCAUUCCGUUUCUCGUAAAACGCAUUUACCAGAUAGAAAUGUUAGAGGAGUGAUUGGGUUCCAAGAAAUGGAUUUUGGGUCGGGCAGCAUUCCGAGAUGUUCUGAGAACGAUGCUCUGAGUCAAGAUGAUGACGGGAUAAAUGAAUUUGAGACGAGCCCUGCUCAUGUCCAGCCAAGACAAGUCUCUGAGAAUCCAGCAAGGAUGAGCGUGCUCAGGAUGUGCUGUGAUGGAACUUUGAAGCAGGAACGAAUCAAACCAGUGAAGCAACCAAUCAUUUCAACAGAACAAGGUAAAGUCUUCGUCGUUCUUUUGAAAUUUUUUUCCCAAAGCUCGUUGUGUUUGUUCUUUGCAUGCGCGUACACGUGAUCCAUUGUCUGAAAGAUAUACCUUCAAGGGAUCCAUUGUCUCCAAACGAUGCCUACACGUGCAGCAGUCUGCUGUAAGAAUGUUCUUAAGUCUAACCAAUAUUACAACGGUGGUUAAAUACAUUGAAAUCAAAUUCUCAUCGUUUUGCAUUGUCAGGUUAUGUUUCUUGCAUGUAAAGAACACUUGCCAGUCUCCCUUUGGAAUAACAAGUUGUACUUCUUUCCCCUGCAUUAUUGUAUAAGCUAUUUUGGGGAUACUUGAGCAGCAUAGGGGAGCCCUUCAUUCUUUAAAAAGGCAUAUAAUCAAUUAAUGGAACAGAACGGCGGUGUCGGUCUUGUCAUUUUAUCAUUGACGUCUGUUUCCGCUUCCAUGCGAGAUUUUAAAUGCGUUUAACUGAAAUUGAACAUGUAUCUAGGCUGAAACUUGCUGUCAAGUUGAUCUUCUCUUAACACGUAAGAUAACUAAAUAAGGCGUUGCGUGCUCAGAACAGGUUUGAGAUGACCGACGUUAAACAUGGCAGAUGGUUUUGAGCAUCUCUUAUAUGCGUGCAUGAGUUUUUUUCGUGCAAAAAAGGGAAAUAUGUUAGCGUCAUUAAGGUACAACGCGUCCUGUUGGAGUUGAAUUAUUAAUAGUUGGAUUAUAUGGGUCAAACCUGCUCGUGGGCGGGGCCGACACCCAAAACGAUAGGCAGAACCCGCACUCAACGCUGUUGCAUUCCUGGGAAGGAAAAGUAUAAAGCUUUUGUUCUCGUGGUAUUUUUAAAUACGUCUUUUCGUUCUUUUCAUAACCAUUCGGGGAAAGAAUGCGUGUGCAUGUGUGUUCAAAUUACAAAGCAUAUAGCGUGACCAACAAGAACCAUCGACUUUCAAUUACUUACGUCAGUACUCGUGAAUUAAUGCUAGCUGCUUCCUGUACGUAAACUGGAGCAAAUGUUAUUGUCUUCCUCACGAUAUCUGGCAAAUGGUAUUUUCACAAUUGUAUAUAUUUCCAUCGAGUUGAAUAUGGAGAUGUUAAACGAGAAAACAAAAAAUAAUCGUUUAACAUAAACUUAAACAAUCCUUGAGCAUAAUGGAUUUAAAUUGGCUCUAAUAGCGUCCUUUACAAUGAGUUACUGUUUUACCGCAUUUCACGUCAGUGAAAGGGGAAGAAAACAGAGAUUUUACCUUUGAUGAGUACUGCAAUACGAUUCAGAUAAAAAAUGAUUCAUCAUUUGGAAAGAGGAAAUUAUCUUCAUCUGAAUAUGAUAAAUGUUCAGUUAAAGAGGGAUGUAUUAGGCCGGAGAAUAGGCCUCGAAAUUCCUUUCAGAAACAUUACCCAAGUUCUCCUCUUCUAUCGCCGCAUAUUCAGAACUACGAUCGCCCAUUUGGAAUUCCUAUGUACGAUUCAUCCUCCCCUCCAAGGCCAGCAAGCAUCAGGUUGCAGCCUCGCGCAAGGAGACGAUCUGAGAACAAGAAAUGCCGAAAGGUUUACGGCAUCGAAAAUAGGGAUAUUUGGUGCACCCAGUGCAAAUGGAAGAAAGCGUGCACGCGGUUCACGGGGAGUGAAAAAGUAGAGAUCCCAGGAUUAAUGUACAUAGCAGAUUACGAGGGGUUACAUUAUCCACUGUAGGAAAGGUUUUGGGAGACGAAAUGAUUUUAUGACAAAGAUUUUAAGAAGCAGUCAACGUGUCUUGCAAACGGAUGUGAGUGCGUUUUCAAAUGAUGCACAUUUCAUGCAAAAUGUUUUGUAGUUUGGAAUUUUGCGAGGAGAAAUUGCAAGUCAAAACAGAUUUAAAAACAGCAAGAAAAAAAUACAAUAUGCUGGUUGAAUAUGAACGUGAUUGAAUCAAAGGUUUGUGAACGGCCGUUUGUUAUAUGCAGUGAUGACUUGAAAAGCCAAUAUGCUGUUUAUCAUGAUGGUGGCAACUAGCAAGGCAAUCUUUGGAUGAAUCUAAGGAUUCCUCGUGUCCUCGGCCAGUUAUUCAGAGAAUACUUGUGCAGAAGAACUUAGUCUCACGUUUCACAAGGUAUUUUAACGUUUCAGUUUGAAUCCGUGAUGUAUUUGCAUCGUGAAAAUAAAAGAAAACCCAAUAUUUAAUUUCUGCUUGAAAACUUCCCUAACAAUAUAUACAUAUUGUAUAAACUAUGGACGCUUACCUUUAUACGGUAAAAACGGUCAGACCGGUCCUGUUGUGUUUCAGAAUACAGACAGAUUACUGGCAUUUUUGAGUGUUUUAAGAAAUCUACAUUCAAGUUUAUCGGUAUUUACAUCCGCCUAGCAUGAAAAAUACAGUUAUACCGCUAUAUUUCUAAAGAAAUACUCUAUUUCAAUCCAAAAUAUGACCGGUCUGACGAUUUUGGUCGCUUAAUGGAAGCGUCCUAGGAUUAUAUCGAACUGAUAAUGUAUUUAAAAUUUAUAGUAAAUUAUUUUAGUUGUUAUAGAAUCAGAUGUGUUCGAUUAUAUGGGUAAUUGUAUAGUUCUUCAUAAUAUUGUAAAAA